AUUGAACGCUGGCGGCAGGCCUAACACAUGCAAGUCGAACGGUAGCACAGAGAGCUUGCUCUCGGGUGACGAGUGGCGGACGGGAGAGUAAUGUCUGGGAAACUGCCCGAUGGAGGGGGAUAACUACUGGAAACGGUAGCUAAUACCGCAUAACGUCGCAAGACCAAAGUGGGGGACCUUCGGGCCUCACACCAUCGGAUGUGCCCAGAUGGGAUUAGCUAGUAGGUGGGGUAAUGGCUCACCUAGGCGACGAUCCCUAGCUGGUCUGAGAGGAUGACCAGCCACACUGGAACUGAGACACGGUCCAGACUCCUACGGGAGGCAGCAGUGGGGAAUAUUGCACAAUGGGCGCAAGCCUGACGCAGCCAUGCCGCGUGUAUGAAGAAGGCCUUCGGGUUGUAAAGUACUUUCAGCGGGGAGGAAGGCGGUGAAGUUAAUAACUUCACCGAUUGACGUUACUCGCAGAAUAAGCACCGGCUAACUCUGUGCCAGCCGCCGCAGUAA
rnacentral:rRNA from 1 species